AUAAUUUUUCUCAUGGCUAUCAAGAGAGUACAGCACCACUGAGCCAUCAAGAAAGGGCAAAGGAAAAACACUGCUACAUGGUGAAGCGGCAGCAUGUUGUGUUGCUCUGCUUCAAUCGGUGGUGUGACAAGG
ensembl:snoRNA